rnacentral:snRNA from 1 species
CUACAGUCAAAGCUGAGGGGGAUACCAGGAUCAGGAAGGUGUUUUUCCCAGGGCGAGGCUCAUCCAUUGCACUCCAGGUGUGCUUACCCUUGCGAUUUCCUCAAAUGUGGGAAACUCAGCUGCAUAAUUUGUGGUAGUGGGAAACUGUGUUCGUGCUUUUCCUAG